GGUGACAUCUUCCUCUUGUGACAGUCUGAGUCAUGAGUCAAGAGGCACCUGUUAUGUUCUUGGUCACUUAUGGUGGCACAAGCCUGAAGCCCCAAGCUGGGGCAGGAGGAUUAUUAAGUCUUAGGCCAACAUGGAUUACAUCUCCAAAAACCAAGUGAAAGACUCUUUUUUAAAUUAAUAAAAUGGUCUAUUUUAGACAAAAGCAUGUUAAGGGAGGUUCCCCAGCUAGACAGGACAAUGUCAAAGAAAACCAACUCCAAGCCCUUUACCACCCUUCAGAGAAAGAGAACCCUUCACAAGAAGAAACAGGUGGAAGAGAACAUGAUUCUGCUGGAGAAGGAUGAGAAGGAAUUGGCAGUCAUGGCUGUGAGGAGAGGCUACAGGAUGGGUGCCGGAGAUGCAGCACCAGCUGCUGCUGCAGCAGAAAGACCAGGAGCAGAAUGCCAUCCUGGAUGCCCAGGGAUUUGAAGCCUAUGGGUCGCAAACUGAGUAUUCCCAAUCUGUAAGUGCUUGUAUGUAUGAAUAUCUGACAAUUUUCUCUCAAGUUUUAUAAAAAUCUAGUGAAAUUAUA